CCUACGGGUGGCCGCAGUGGGGAAUAUUGGGCAAUGGGCGCAAGCCUGACCCAGCAACGCCGCGUGAAGGAAGAAGGCCUUCGGGUUGUAAACUUCUUUUGUCAGGGACGAAACAAAUGACGGUACCUGACGAAUAAGCCGCGGCUAACUACGUGCCAGCAGCCGCGGUAAUACGUAGGUGGCAAGCGUUAUCCGGAUUUACUGGGUGUAAAGGGCGUGUAGGCGGGAGAGCAAGUCAGAGGUGAAAUUCCAGGGCUCAACCCUGGAACUGCAGUUGAAACUGUUUUGCUUGAGUGAUGGAGAGGCAGGCGGAAUUCCGUGUGUAGCGGUGAAAUGCGUAGAGAUACGGAGGAACACCAGUGGCGAAGGCGGCCUGCUGGACAUUAACUGACGCUGAGGCGCGAAAGCGUGGGGAGCAAACAGGAUUAGAUACCCUGGUAGUC
rnacentral:rRNA from 1 species